UGGGGAAUAUUGGACAAUGGGCGCAAGCCUGAUCCAGCAAUGCCGCGUGUGUGAAGAAGGCCUUCGGGUUGUAAAGCACUUUUAUCAGGAGCGAAAUACUACCGAUUAAUACUCGGUGGGGCUGACGGUACCUGAGGAAUAAGCACCGGCUAACUUCGUGCCAGCAGCCGCGGUAAUACGAAGGGUGCAAGCGUUAAUCGGAAUUACUGGGCGUAACGGGUGCGUAGGCGGUUAUUUAAGUCUGCCGUGAAAUCCCCGGGCUCAACCUGGGAAUGGCGGUGGAUACUGGAUAGCUAGAGUGUGGCAGAGGAUGGUGGAAUUCCCGGUGUAGCGGUGAAAUGCGUAGAGAUCGGGAGGAACAUCAGUGGCGAAGGCGGCCAUCUGGGACAACACUGACGCUGAAGCACGAAAGCGUGGGGAGCAAACA
rnacentral:rRNA from 1 species